rnacentral:rRNA from 1 species
AGCGAACGCUGGCGGCAGGCCUAACACAUGCAAGUCGAACGAACUCUUCGGAGUUAGUGGCGGACGGGUGAGUAACACGUGGGAACGUGCCUUUUGGUUCGGAAUAACUCAGGGAAACUUGUGCUAAUACCGAGUGUGCCCUUCGGGGGAAAGAUUUAUCGCCAUUGGAGCGGCCCGCGUCUGAUUAGCUAGUUGGUGAGGUAACGGCUCACCAAGGCGACGAUCAGUAGCUGGUCUGAGAGGAUGACCAGCCACACUGGGACUGAGACACGGCCCAGACUCCUACGGGAGGCAGCAGUGGGGAAUCUUGCGCAAUGGGCGAAAGCCUGACGCAGCCAUGCCGCGUGAAUGAUGAAGGUCUUAGGAUUGUAAAAUUCUUUCACCGGGGACGAUAAUGACGGUACCCGGAGAAGAAGCCCCGGCUAACUUCGUG